rnacentral:rRNA from 1 species
UACGUAGGGGGGCUAGCGUUGUCCGGAAUCAUUGGGCGUAAAGCGCGUGUAGGCGGUUCGGUAAGUCCGCUGUGAAAGUCGGGGGCUCAACCCUCGGAAGCCGGUGGAUACUGUCGAGCUAGAGUACGGGAAGAGGCGAGUGGAAUUCCUGGUGUAGCGGUGAAAUGCGCAGAUAUCAGGAGGAACACCAAUUGCGAAGGCAGCUCGCUGGGACGUUACUGACGCUGAGACGCGAAAGCGUGGGGGAGCAAACAGG